AUCCAGCUGACAAGUCCCAAAUAGGAUGAAACGCGUGUCCUAGAU
rnacentral:hammerhead_ribozyme from 1 species